rnacentral:misc_RNA from 1 species
AACACAUCUUGUGCUCCUUGGUAUUCCUUGGAGUAUGCCUGUUUGAGUAUCAAGAGAAAAACUCAAAGUCAAUUCCUUUAAAUUUGGAUUUUGCUUUGGACUGGGAGGUUCUUGCAGAUUUCAACAUCUGCUCCUCUUAAAUGCAUUAGCUGGAUCUCAGUGUUAUGCUUGGUCCCACUCAGCGUGAUAAUUAUCACUCGCUGAGGACACUGUAAAAGGUGGCCAGGAAAAUGCUGAUCGAACCACUUCUAAUGGUUUAUUAAGUUAGACAAUUAGCCCCUUAAGUUUGAUCACAAAUCAGGCAGGACUACCUGCUGAACUUAA